rnacentral:pre_miRNA from 1 species
UUUCUACUCCCUCCGUCCGAAAAUACUUGUCGUCAAAAUGGAUAAAAAGAGAUGUAUCUAAAACUAAAAUAUGUCUAGAUACAUUUCCUUUUAUCCAUUUUGAUGACAAGUAUUUCCGGACGAAGGGACUAUUUG